UACAGAGGUCUCAAGCGUUGCUCGGAUUCAUUGGGCGUAAAGGGUGCGUAGGCGGCGCGGUAAGUCGGGUGUGAAAUCUUGGAGCUUAACUCCGAAACUGCAUUCGAUACUGCCGUGCUUGAGGACUGGAGAGGAGACUGGAAUUUACGGUGUAGCGGUGAAAUGCGUAGAUAUCUGGAGGAACACCGGUGGCGAAGGCGACAUCCUGGACCAAUACUGACGCUGAGGAGCGAAAGCCAGGGGAGCAAACGGG
rnacentral:rRNA from 1 species